rnacentral:tRNA from 1 species
GCUUAGUGGUUAAGAGCUGUGGCUGCUAUCCAAAAGGUUGGUGGUUCAAAUCCACC